AAGGUGGCCUGUGAGGGUUGCUGGAGGUAUCAGAAGUGCGAAUGCUGACAUAAGUAACGAUAAAGCGGGUGAAAAGCCCGCUCGCCGGAAGACCAAGGGUUCCUGUCCAACGUUAAUCGGGGCAGGGUGAGUCGACCCCUAAGGCGAGGCCGAAAGGCGUAGUCGAUGGGAAACGGGUUAAUAUUCCCGUACUUGGUGUUACUGCGAAGGGGGGACGGAGAAGGCUAUGUUGGCCGGGCGACGGUUGUCCCGGUUUAAGCGUGUAGGUGUGUGUUCCAGGUAAAUCCGGUUCACUUUAACACUGAGGCGUGAUGACGAGGCACUACGGUGCUGAAGCAACAAAUGCCCUGCUUCCAGGAAAAGCCUCUAAGCAUCAGGUAACAUCAAAUCGUACCCCAAACCGACACAGGUGGUCAGGUAGAGAAUACCAAGGCGCUUGAGAGAACUCGGGUGAAGGAACUAGGCAAAAUGGUGCCGUAACUUCGGGAGAAGGCACGCUGACACGUAGGUGAAGUGAUUUACUCACGGAGCUGAAGUCAGUCGAAGAUACCAGCUGGCUGCAACUGUUUAUUAAAAACACAGCACUGUGCAAACACGAAAGUGGACGUAUACGGUGUGACGCCUGCCCGGUGCCGGAAGGUUAAUUGAUGGGGUCAGCGCAAGCGAAGCUCCUGAUCGAAGCCCCGGUAAACGGCGGCCGUAACUAUAACGGUCCUAAGGUAGCGAAAUUCCUUGUCGGGUAAGUUCCGACCUGCACGAAUGGCGUAAUGAUGGCCAGGCUGUCUCCACCCGAGACUCAGUGAAAUUGAACUCGCUGUGAAGAUGCAGUGUACCCGCGGCAAGACGGAAAGACCCCGUGAACCUUUACUAUAGCUUGACACUGAACAUUGAGCCUUGAUGUGUAGGAUAGGUGGGAGGCUUUGAAGUGUGGACGCCAGUCUGCAUGGAGCCGACCUUGAAAUACCACCCUUUAAUGUUUGAUGUUCUAACGUGGACCCGUAAUCCGGGUUGCGGACAGUGUCUGGUGGGUAGUUUGACUGGGGCGGUCUCCUCCUAAAGAGUAACGGAGGAGCACGAAGGUUGGCUAAUCCUGGUCGGACAUCAGGAGGUUAGUGCAAUGGCAUAAGCCAGCUUGACUGCGAGCGUGACGGCGCGAGCAGGUGCGAAAGCAGGUCAUAGUGAUCCGGUGGUUCUGAAUGGAAGGGCCAUCGCUCAACGGAUAAAAGGUACUCCGGGGAUAACAGGCUGAUACCGCCCAAGAGUUCAUAUCGACGGCGGUGUUUGGCACCUCGAUGUCGGCUCAUCACAUCCUGGGGCUGAAGUAGGUCCCAAGGGUAUGGCUGUUCGCCAUUUAAAGUGGUACGCGAGCUGGGUUUAGAACGUCGUGAGACAGUUCGGUCCCUAUCUGCCGUGGGCGCUGGAGAACUGAGGGGGGCUGCUCCUAGUACGAGAGGACCGGAGUGGACGCAUCACUGGUGUUCGGGUUGUCAUGCCAAUGGCACUGCCCGGUAGCUAAAUGCGGAAGAGAUAAGUGCUGAAAGCAUCUAAGCACGAAACUUGCCCCGAGAUGAGUUCUCCCUGAGACUU
rnacentral:rRNA from 1 species